AUUCACUCAAGAUUCUUCUCUGUACUACUCUUACCUAAGAUGAAUCACAAAAGAACAUGUUGAUUGGGCGGAGGAGGAAGGUGGAUGGUUUUAUAAAUGAAGAUGGACUAUAAUAUUAUAAUGUUGUGCUUUUAUUAUGUAUCACAAAAGAAAAAAUUAUCACUAAAGAAGGAGUAGGAAGAAGAAUCUGUGGUCCCUUCAAUUAAUGUAAUGGGGAUCUCAAUUAGCUACAAGAGAGAGUCAGUCGUGCCUGGGCUUGUCUGUUGAAUUGGUGGGAGCAGCUGCCAGAAGCCUGUUUGCAUAUGGAUUGAGGGUCCUCUUGGGAGUGUUCUCAUUCUGAAGGAAGAAGUUGCCUGGCAACAAGAGUUUGACCCAUGGAGACAGCUUUACCCAACAGAGGAGCAAGAAAGCCUGAGUACAGUGUGGUGUCUGUCAUCUAGAUCUGUCUCCCGGCUGGAUGACAUGAAUAUAUGCCUAAGUGCCACAGAGAGUGGGGAGGCUAAAUGGACCAAGUAGAGAAAAAUAAACCUGCUUUACUAAUAUCCAUUUAAAACGGAGUACAAUGCAAUGCUUCAAGAUCCAUCUGAUAGACUAAAAUCCAAAUGGAAGGGAAGUGUUUUCCCCUUUCUUACUAAAAAUCAGUUUGGGUAUGGAGAUGUCACCAAAGCAUUCAUUAUAGUGUGUAUCAGAGCAGCGACAGUACCCGGAGAAGACUUUGAUGCCCAGUGAAGCAUUAAAAAUCAAUACCCAUAGGAUGUGGUAGUAUCCGGUGAUACUAAUUGGGAUAUGUCUGCACCUGAGGUUACGAUUAGAAGUGUAUCAUUGUUAGAGAGGUAAUCGCUGAUACGUUUUUUUGAAGAAGAAUUGUGCAAAUUCCUCUGAAAGCCUAGUGUUGUUUCUAUGAAGCCCAAUCACCUGGUAGAAUUCCUGUGGGAAGAUACAUCACUGCUAAUUCUCCUCCCUACCUAGAAAACGUCCAAAAUGUGGGUUAUUCAUGUCAAAGAUAAACAAGGCCAGACACUCGAAGUGAUACACGCCCUGCUCCUAAGACAACCAGUAUCCUCAGCUGCUUUCCAGAUCCCUUUACAGAACAAAUGGGAUUUUCCAGAUGAUUUCCACGCUAUGUGGGAGCCAAGCAAGUCUCUGAGAAGAUCAAGUCACAUCUUCUCUUUGCCGAACUUUGUCAUAGCACUAAUUUUAUUAUUUGUUAUGUUAUUGGGGGAUCCACCUGGAGAGGUGAUCUAAUCUCAAAGUCCCAAAUGAGUAUGCGGAAUUUAGAAAAAUA
rnacentral:lncRNA from 1 species